rnacentral:rRNA from 1 species
UUGGAGGGCAAGUCUGGUGCCAGCAGCCGCGGUAAUUCCAGCUCCAAUAGCGUAUAUUAAAGUUGUUGCAGUUAAAAAGCUCGUAGUUGAAUUUCGGGAUCAAGGGAUCGGUCAUGCCUUGGUAUGUACUGGUUUCAUUGGUUCUCACCUUCUAAAGAACCAUGAUGCCAUUCAUUUGAUGUUAUGGGGAAUUAGGACUGUUACCUUGAAAAAAUUAGAGUGUUUAAAGCAGGCUUUACGCUUGAAUACAUUAGCAUGGAAUAAUGAAAUAGGACAUCCGAUUCUAUUUUGUUGGUUUCUAGGAUCGAUGUAGUGAUUAAUAGGGAUAGUUGGGGGCAUUAGUAUUCAAUUGUCAGAGGUGAAAUUCUUGGAUUUAUUGAAGACUAACUACUGCGAAAGCAUUUGCCAAGGAUGUUUUCAUUAAUCAAGAACGAAAGUUAGGGGAUCGAAGACGAUCAGAUACCGUCGUAGUCUUAACCAUAAACUAUGCCGACUAGGGAUCGGAUGAUGUUAAUUUUAUAAUGACUCAUUCGGCACCUUACGGGAAAC